UACGUAGGAGACGAGCGUUGUCCGGAAUUACUGGGCGUAAAGCGCGUGUAGGCGGAUGGGCAAGUCUGCUGUGAAAGCUCCUGGCUUAACCGGGAGUGGUCGGUGGAAACUGCCCGUCUGGAGGACGGUAGAGGUAGGUAGAAUUCCUGGUGUAGCGGUGGAAUGCGCAGAUAUCAGGAGGAACACCAAUAGCGAAGGCAGCUCGCUGGGACGUUACUGACACUGAGGCGCGAAAGCGUGGGGAGCGAACAGG
rnacentral:rRNA from 1 species